UUCCGUUGGUGGAACCAGCGGAGGGAUCAUUACCGAGUUUACAACUCCCAAACCCCUGUGAACAUACCACUUGUUGCCUCGGCGGAUCAGCCCGCUCCCGGUAAAACGGGACGGCCCGCCAGAGGACCCCUAAACUCUGUUUCUAUAUGUAACUUCUGAGUAAAACCAUAAAUAAAUCAAAACUUUCAACAACGGAUCUCUUGGUUCUGGCAUCGAUGAAGAACGCAGCAAAAUGCGAUAAGUAAUGUGAAUUGCAGAAUUCAGUGAAUCAUCGAAUCUUUGAACGCACAUUGCGCCCGCCAGUAUUCUGGCGGGCAUGCCUGUUCGAGCGUCAUUUCAACCCUCAAGCACAGCUUGGUGUUGGGACUCGCGUUAAUUCGCGUUCCUCAAAUUGAUUGGCGGUCACGUCGAGCUUCCAUAGCGUAGUAGUAAAACCCUCGUUACUGGUAAUCGUCGCGGCCACGCCGUUAAACCCCAACUUCUGAAUGUUGACCUCGGAUCAGGUAGGAAUACCCGCUGAACUUAAGCAUAUCAUUAAGCGGAGGAA
rnacentral:rRNA from 1 species